rnacentral:rRNA from 1 species
GUGGGGAAUAUUGGACAAUGGGCGAAAGCCUGAUCCAGCCAUACCGCGUGUGUGAAGAAGGUCUUCGGAUUGUAAAGCACUUUAAGUUGGGAGGAAGGGCAGUAAGUUAAUACCUUGCUGUUUUGACGUUACCGACAGAAUAAGCACCGGCUAACUUCGUGCCAGCAGCCGCGGUAAUACGAAGGGUGCAAGCGUUAAUCGGAAUUACUGGGCGUAAAGCGCGCGUAGGUGGUUUUGUAAGUUGGAGGUGGAAUCCCCGGGCUCAACCUGGGAACUGCCUCCAAAACUGCAUGACUAGAGUACGGUAGAGGGUAGUGGAAUUUCCUGUGUAGCGGUGAAAUGCGUAGAUAUAGGAAGGAACACCAGUGGCGAAGGCGACUACCUGGACUGAUACUGACACUGAGGUGCGAAAGCGUGGGGAGCAAACAGGAUUAGAUACCCCAGUAGUCC